rnacentral:sRNA from 1 species
CGAGAGCCUGACGGAGCAACGCCGCGUGAGGGAGGAAGGCCUGUGGGUCGUAAACCUCUUUUCUCAGGGAAGAAGUACUGACGGUACCUGAGGAAUCAGCAUCGGCUAACUCCGUGCCAGCAGCCGCGGUAAGACGGAGGAUGCAAGCGUUAUCCGGAAUUAUUGGGCGUAAAGCGUCCGUAGGUGGUAUAGAAAGUCUGUUGUUAAAUCCCACAGCUCAACUGUGGAUCGGCAAUGGAAACUACUAAACUUGAGUGUGGUAGGGGUAGAGGGAAUUCCUAGUGUAGCGGUGAAAUGCGUAGAUAUUAGGAAGAACACCAGUGGCGAAGGCGCUCUACUGGGCCAUAACUGACACUGAUGGACGAAAGCUAGGGGAGCGAAAGGGAUUAGAUACCCCUGUAGUCCUAGCUGUAAACGAUGGAUACUAGGUGUUGGCCGUAUCGACCCGGUCAGUAUCGAAGCAAACGCGUUAAGUAUCCCGCCUGGGGAGUACGCACGCAAGUGUGAAACUCAAAGGAAUUGACGGGGGCCCGCACAAGCGGUGGAGUAUGUGGUUUAAUUCGAUGCAACGCGAAGAACCUUACCAGGGAUUGACAUCCUACGAAUCCUCUUGAAAGGGAGGAGUGCCUUCGGGAGCGUAGAGACAGGUGGUGCAUGGCUGUCGUCAGCUCGUGUCGUGAGAUGUUGGGUUAAGUCCCGCAACGAGCGCAACCCUCGUCCUUAGUUGCCAUCAUUAAGUUGGGCACUUUAAGGAGACUGCCGGUGACAAACCGGAGGAAGGUGGGGAUGACGUCAAGUCAUCAUGCCCCUUACAUCCUGGGCUACACACGUACUACAAUGCAACGGACAAAGGGCAGCCAACUAGCGAUAGUGAGCUAAUCCCAUAAACCGUUGCUCAGUUCAGAUUGCAGGCUGCAACUCGCCUGCAUGAAGGCGGAAUCGCUAGUAAUCGCAGGUCAGCAUACUGCGGUGAAUACGUUCCCGGGCCUUGUACACACCGCCCGUCACACCAUGGAAGUUGGCCACGCCCGAAGUCGUUACCCCAACCCUUGGGGGGGGGAACGCCGGAAGGCGGGCGGAUGACUGGGUGGGAGAAUAACCAAGGUAGUCGUACCGGAAGGAGUGGCUGGUUCAUCACCUUAUAAGGAGAACCUCCUAAGUAUAGAGAACGAACACUAUGAGGGAAGAGUUCAUAGCUAUAGUCCCUAAAGGCCUUUAGGGGUUUCAAAAUUAAAAGUUACAAAGCGAAGAAAGUGUUUCGAGAGAGAUGCUGGAAGCGUGAGUUGCCAAAUCUUCAAUUAUUCCAGGUGUUAUGCCAUCAGAGAUACGCGAUGGUUAACGGGUAAUUACUCAAGGUGGUUAGAGCGCACCCCUGAUAAGGGUGAGGCCCCUGUUUGAGGUCCAGGAUGGCCCACUUACAUCGACUUGCACAAAAGAGCUGCAUGGAAUGGGGGUAUAGCUCAGCUGGUAGAGCGCCUGCUUUGCAAGCAGGACGUCAGCGGUUCGGGUCCGCUUACCUCCACCACGACUAGCCGAAAGCAAAUCAAUAAAAAGAGUCAAAGCAAUCAGCAUCUAAUGCUGUGCGGAAGGAAGUUUUAAACGCCAUUCCAAACACCAUAGCGUGCUGGUCUCUUAGAGACUAGUAAGAACCUUGACAACUGCAUAGAAAAAAUAGAAAAGCAAAGGUAGUUCGAGUGUCUGUAGUAGACAUUUGAAAACAAGAAAGCCCAAUGAGCUUAGCUAUGUAGGAAGUUAGAAGGCGAGAGCCAUCUGACUAACUAU